rnacentral:rRNA from 1 species
ACGGGGGGUGCAAGCGUUGUUCGGAAUCAUUGGGCGUAAAGAGCGUGUAGGCGGCUGAAUAAGUCAGAUGUGAAAUCCCUGGGCUCAACCCAGGAAGUGCAUUUGAAACUGUUCGGCUAGAGUAGGGGAGAGGGAAGUGGAAUUCCUGGUGUAGAGGUGAAAUUCGUAGAUAUCAGGAGGAACACCGGUGGCGAAGGCGACUUCCUGGCCCUAUACUGACGCUGAGACGCGAGAGCGUGGGGAGCAAACAG